AUACGGAGGAUGCAAGCGUUAUCCGGAUUCAUUGGGUUUAAAGGGUGCGCAGGCGGAAUGAUAAGUCAGUGGUGAAAUCCUACGGCUCAACUGUAGAACUGCCAUUGAUACUGUUGUUCUUGAGUACACUUGGAGUGGGCGGAAUGUGUCAUGUAGCGGUGAAAUGCUUAGAUAUGACACAGAACACCGAUCGCGAAGGCAGCUCACUAAGUUGUAACUGACGCUCAGGCACGAAAGCGUGGGGAUC
rnacentral:rRNA from 1 species